GAAUAUGUGAAGAGUGAGAAAGGUGAUCAGGCUUCUGGAGCAGCUUCCAUAUGAUGAAGGAAAUUUGACAAUCUUCAGCCUGGAGUAGAAUCAACUGACGGAGAAUUUGAUAGAGAUCUACAGGACUGGAAAUGACAUGAAAAAGGUGCUUGUUCAGCUGCUUGUUCCAGCCUGUAGAAGAGCCUGAACACAAAUUGGCAGAAUCUAUGCAGCAAGGCUCUGAAAAUCAUCUCCAGUGAUCCAGAAAGCCUCGUAGCAAGCAGAAGAAGUCCUGCUCCUUGUCACUGUGAUUAUGGAGAUGCAGGAAGCAGCAUUUGUUCAUCUUUCAUGCCAGACUUUCAAACUCUGCAAUGUGACUGACUGAUGCAGUA